UGCGACAUCGCAGGAGAGACCGGAACGCCGCCAGGCGCGUCCGGCGCCGACGGAGCAACCGCCCCGGAAACUCUCAGGCACACAGGACUGUGGCGUCGCA
rfam:Cupriavidus sp. TYMMa02A contig.116, whole genome shotgun sequence.